rfam:Danio rerio chromosome 4, GRCz11 reference primary assembly.
GGCUCGUUGGUCUAGGGUUAUGAUUCUCGCUUACGAUGCGAGAGGUCUGGGGUUCAAAUUCUGGAAGAGCCC